rnacentral:rRNA from 1 species
AUGAUCGAGGUGGGCGACUACGGUGAAAUUCUGUCAGAUGACACAAUACAUGCUCUGCAACUGCUCGACCCACCAGAAGCUCAAGAACCAGACUGUUGUUCGCUAUCCCACCAUGCCAUCUCCGGCGAGGAAGCACCCUCUACCAUGCGCCUCCGAGCUCAAGUAGGGGAUCAGGUGAUGUUGUUGUUGGUCGAUUCAGGUAGUACCCACAGUUUCGUCAGCGAGUCAUUCCUCUCACGGUUGUCUGUCCAAACUGAACCUCUGCCGCCAGUCUCUGUUCGUGUUGCGAAUGGCCAGCGCCUGCAUUGUGACAAGAUCGUCAUAUCACUGCAAUGGGAAGUGUCGGGGCACACUUUCCACACCGAUCUGCGUGUGCUCCAACUCAGUGCGUAUGACGGGGUACUAGGCAUGGAUUGGCUGUCGCAGCACAGCCCUAUGAAUUGUCACUGGCAACUGAAGACGAUCUCCUUCCAGGUUGGCGAUAAAACAGUGCAUCUCUGA